rnacentral:tRNA from 1 species
GGGGGUGUAGCUCAUUUGGCAGAGCGCGUCAUUAGCAUUUUGACGAGGUACUGGGUUCAAUUCCCAGCUCCUCCA